GACGAACGCUGGCGGCGUGCUUAACACAUGCAAGUCGAGCGGUAAGGCCCUUUCGGGGGUACACGAGCGGCGAACGGGUGAGUAACACGUGGGUGACCUGCCUUUAGCUCUGGGAUAAGCCUGGGAAACUGGGUCUAAUACCGGAUACGACUCCGCGGUGCAUGCUGUGGGGUGGAAAGCCUUGUGCGGCUGGAGAUGGGCCCGCGGCCUAUCAGCUUGUUGGUGGGGUGAUGGCCACCAAGGCGACGACGGGUAGCCGGCCUGAGAGGGCGACCGGCCACACUGGGACUGAGACACGGCCCAGACUCCUACGGGAGGCAGCGGUGGGGAAUCUUGCGCAAUGGGCGAAAGCCUGACGCAGCGACGCCGCGUGAGGGAUGACGCCU
rnacentral:rRNA from 1 species